rnacentral:rRNA from 1 species
CCCGUAGAUGUUCUGGGCCGCACGCGCGCUACAAUGAUGAAUUCAACGAGUUUAUAACCUUGGUUGAAAAGCCUGGGUAAUCUUUUGAACUUUCGUCGUGAUGGGGCUAGACCCUUGCAAUUAUUGGUCUCCAACGAGGAAUUCCUAGUAAACGCAAGUCAUCAGCUUGCAUUGAUUACGUCCCUGCCCUUUGUACACACCGCCCGUCGCACCUACCGAUUGAAUGGUCCGGUGAAAUCUUCGGAUUGAGACUUUGAUUUCUUCACGGAAAACGCUGUUUUAAAAAGUUGAUUAAACCUUACCAUUUAGAGGAAGGUGAAGUCGUAACA